CAACACUUUGAAAUGUGCCCGGAAACAUUAACCUGCGCUAACCAAGUGGCCGGCUCCUGGGACCUAUUAAACUUACAAGUUGUACGGUGGGCAUCACAUUACAAGAAGGCAAGAAUAAGUAAUAGACAUUUUCUCUGACAAGCAGUUACAUUUCACCAGGGUUUGUUUGCUUUGUAAACAGAACCUGAAGAAGGGUGUUUUGUGUGUGUGUUUUUGGGGGGUGGAGUGUGGAAUCACCACUUUGCUCUUAAGAGUGGUUAAUUUGCUUGCAUCACACAUCGGAAGCCUGAAAACAUUUGUUCUGAUUAGUGAGCACAAGCUUUGCAUCCUUCUGUUGUUUCUCCUGCUAUUAUUGCGUUGAUGUACAAGAUGCUGCUCUCAGGGUAUUGGGUUUAAAAAGAAGAAAACACCCAAGAGGUGGUGUUGACAGUUAGCUCAGCUAUUGAAGAUUAAAAGGGGAGCAGAAAACUCAUGGGGAAGAGGUUCUAUAAUAGCCCUUUCCAUUGAUUGAUUGAUUGAUUGAUUGAUUCAAAGCAUUUGGACCCUGCUUUUCAGGGAGGAAAGCUCCCAGAGUGCCUUCCAAAUCAACAAAAACAACACAGUCCUUUUCCUCAGGCUUACAAUGGAAAAAGAUGCAUC